GAGAGCGGCGGACGGGUGAGUAAUGCCUAGGAAUCUGCCUGGUAGUGGGGGAUAACGUUCGGAAACGGACGCUAAUACCGCAUACGUCCUACGGGAGAAAGCAGGGGACCUUCGGGCCUUGCGCUAUCAGAUGAGCCUAGGUCGGAUUAGCUAGUUGGUGGGGUAAUGGCUCACCAAGGCGACGAUCCGUAACUGGUCUGAGAGGAUGAUCAGUCACACUGGAACUGAGACACGGUCCAGACUCCUACGGGAGGCAGCAGUGGGGAAUAUUGGACAAUGGGCGAAAGCCUGAUCCAGCCAUGCCGCGUGUGUGAAGAAGGUCUUCGGAUUGUAAAGCACUUUAAGUUGGGAGGAAGGGUUGUAGAUUAAUACUCUGCAAUUUUGACGUUACCGACAG
rnacentral:rRNA from 1 species